GGUAGGAUGGCUUAGUUAAGCGGUGGAUUGUAGCCCCAUAUGCAGAGGUUUGAGCCCUCUUCUUAUCA
rnacentral:tRNA from 1 species